rnacentral:tRNA from 1 species
AAUGGAUUUAAACCCCAUACAUAAAGUCAUAUCUUUUUUUAGAA